rnacentral:rRNA from 1 species
AGAACGAACGCUGGCGGCAUGCCUAACACAUGCAAGUCGAACGAAGGCUUCGGCCUUAGUGGCGCACGGGUGAGUAACACGUGGGAACCUGCCUCUUUGUUCGGAAUAACAUCGGGAAACUGGUGCUAAUACCGGAUACGCCCUACGGGGGAAAGAUUUAUCGCAGAGAGAGGGGCCCGCGUCCGAUUAGGUAGUUGGUGGGGUAAUGGCCUACCAAGCCCGCGAUCGGUAGCUGGUCUGAGAGGAUGAUCAGCCACACUGGGACUGAGACACGGCCCAGACUCCUACGGGAGGCAGCAGUGGGGAAUAUUGGACAAUGGGCGGAAGCCUGAUCCAGCAAUGCCGCGUGAAUGAUGAAGGCCUUAGGGUUGUAAAGUUCUUUCGUCGGGGACGAUGAUGACGGUACCCGAAGAAGAAGCCCCGGCUAACUUCGCGCCAGCAGCCGC